CCUACGGGAGGCAGCAGUGGGGAAUAUUGCGCAAUGGGCGAAAGCCUGACGCAGCGACGCCGCGUGAGGGAUGAAGGUCUUCGGAUCGUAAACCUCUGUCAGCAGGGAAGAACGGUCACUGUGCUAAUCAGCAGUGAAUUGACGGUACCUGCUAAGGAAGCACCGGCUAACUCCGUGCCAGCAGCCGCGGUAAUACUGAGGGUGCGAGCGUUAAUCGGAAUUACUGGGGGUAAAGGGCGCGUAGGCGGGAUGGCAAGUCAAGGGUGAAAUCCCCGCGCUCAACGUGGGAACUGCAUUUGAAACUGGCAAGCUGGAGUGUGUGAGAGGAAGGUGGAAUUCCAGGUGUAGGAGUGAAAUGCGUAGAUAUCAGGAGGAACACCAGUGGCGAAGGCGACUAUCUGGAACAUAACUGACGCUGAGGAGCGAAAGCGUGGGUAGCAAACAGGAUUAGAUACCCCAGUAGUC
rnacentral:rRNA from 1 species